AUCCAGUAGACGAGUCUCAAACAGGACGAAACUUUCGUCCUAGAU
rnacentral:hammerhead_ribozyme from 1 species